rnacentral:rRNA from 1 species
UAGGGAAUCUUCCGCAAUGGGCGAAAGCCUGACGGAGCAACGCCGCGUGAGUGAUGAAGGUCUUCGGAACGUAAAACUCUGUUAUUAGGGAAGAACAAAUGUGUAAGUAACUAUGCACGUCUUGACGGUACCUAAUCAGAAAGCCACGGCUAACUACGUGCCAGCAGCCGCGGUAAUACGUAGGUGGCAAGCGUUAUCCGGAAUUAUUGGGCGUAAAGCGCGCGUAGGCGGUUUUUUAAGUCUGAUGUGAAAGCCCACGGCUCAACCGUGGAUGGUCAUUGGAAACUGGAAAACUUGAGUGCAGAAGAGGAAAGUGGAAUUCCAUGUGUAGCGGUGAAAUGCGCAGAGAUAUGGAGGAACACCAGUGGCGAAGGCGACUUUCUGGUCUGUAACUGACGCUGAUGUGCGAAAGCGUGGGGAUCAAACAGG